AUGGUAAAGAAGAGGUGAA
rnacentral:miRNA from 1 species